rnacentral:rRNA from 1 species
GACGAACCGUGCGAACGUUGUUCGGAAUCACUGGGCUUAAAGGGCGCGUAGGCGGGCUGCCGCGUCCGGGGUGAAAUCCCACGGCUCAACCGUGGAACUGCCUCGGAUACGGGCGGUCUUGAGGGGGGUAGGGGCACGCGGAACUGUGGGUGGAGCGGUGAAAUGCGUUGAUAUCCACAGGAACUCCGGUGGCGAAGGCGGCGUGCUGGACCCCAUCUGACGCUGAGGCGCGAAAGCCAGGGGAGCAAACAGG